UCGGACGUGGUGCGCGGUGCACGCCUGCUUAUAGUUGUCGGACUUAGUCUCCAAGAAUUACUUACGGCAGGACAAUCUGAGUUCGACUCUCAGCGUUCGAG